GCCCAGGUGGCGGAAUUGGCAGACGCGCUAGUUUCAGGUACUAGUGGCCGCAAGGUCGUGGAGGUUCGAGUCCUCUCCUGGGCACCA
rnacentral:tRNA from 1 species